UAGUCGUUGUACUCUAUUGUUAUAAUAUGUCUUUUUGACUGAAUACAUGUUUGUUUUAUUUGUCUAUAUCCUAGAUUCGCAGCUGGACACAUCCUUCUACACUGUAUGCAAACAUGCAACAUCAUUACACACAGUACAAGGAGUCAGACUGGCAUAUUAGGAGCAAAGGAACCCAGGCAGUAGCAUCGUUUCACAAUGUUUCCAUCACCAUCAUCAGUGGAUGCCUUUGCCGUCCGUAGCCUGAGAUUUCAGAUUUGCAGCAAAAAAAAUUUGAUUUUCUCAUUUAUUGGAAUGCUGUGCAGGUAUUUGUACCUUGCAGCCAUCCAUUACAAUGUCACCAAGCCGUAACAAAAGCAGGAGAGGGAAAGUACAAGGCUAUGUUCCCAAAACACACAAGUGACAUACUGUAAGCAGUAAUGUUUUAUUUCAAAUACAUUCAUAAUUAAAAACUUAAUGUAUGA